rnacentral:rRNA from 1 species
UGGGGAAUAUUGGACAAUGGGCGAAAGCCUGAUCCAGCCAUGCCGCGUGUGUGAAGAAGGUCUUCGGAUUGUAAAGCACUUUAAGUUGGGAGGAAGGGCAGUAAGCGAAUACCUUGCUGUUUUGACGUUACCGACAGAAUAAGCACCGGCUAACUCUGUGCCAGCAGCCGCGGUAAUACAGAGGGUGCAAGCGUUAAUCGGAAUUACUGGGCGUACAGCGCGCGUAGGUGGUUCGUUAAGUUGAAUGUGAAAGCCCCGGGCUCAACCUGGGAACUGCAUCCAAAACUGGCGGGCUAGAGUAGGGCAGAGGGUCGUGGAAUUUCCUGUGUAGCGGAGAAAUGCGUAGAUAUAGGAAGGAACACCAGUGGCGAAGGCGACCACCUGGGCUCAUACUGACACUGAGGUGCGAAAGCGUGGGGAGCAAACAGG